GUAAGGAAUAUUGGUCAAUGGACGCAAGUCUGAACCAGCCAUGCCGCGUGAAGGAUGAAGGUCCUCUGGAUUGUAAACUUCUUUUAUAUGGGACGAAAAAAGGGCAUUCUUGCUCACUUGACGGUACCAUAGGAAUAAGCACCGGCUAACUCCGUGCCAGCAGCCGCGGUAAUACGGAGGGUGCGAGCGUUAUCCGGAUUUACUGGGUUUAAAGGGUGCGUAGGUGGGCAGGUAAGUCAGUGGUGAAAUCUCCGGGCUUAACCCGGAAACUGCCAUUGAUACUAUCUGUCUUGAAUAUCCUGGAGGUGAGCGGAAUAUGUCAUGUAGCGGUGAAAUGCUUAGAUAUGACAUAGAACACCGAUUGCGAAGGCAGCUCACUACGGGGUUAUUGACACUGAGGCACGAAAGCGUGGGGAUCAAACAGGAUUAGAAACCCGAGUAGUCC
rnacentral:rRNA from 1 species